CCUGGCCGUAAUUUAACUUUGCAUAUAUAUUUGCAAGUUCUAUUUUCUUCAUAAGGAAAGAAUGAGGGUAGAGAGCAAUCACCUCUUCAUGGAGACUGAUUGCUCUGUCUAUCACGCUUGGUUUUGGGCGACUGUGAAAAACACUAUGGCUCUUGCAGGUUUUCCAGAAACUCCUCUAUUUCUCUACACAUGUGGCUCCUGCCUCUGUCUCUAAUCUUCUUCAGAGUUGUGAUGCUG